ACGAUAUGCUUUGGGGAGCUGUAAGUAAGCUUUGAUCCAGAGAUUUCCGAAUGGGGAAACCCAGCAUGAGUUAUGUCAUGUUAUCGAUAUGUGAAUACAUAGCAUAUCAGAAGGCACACCCGGAGAACUGAAACAUCUUAGUACCCGGAGGAAGAGAAAGAAAAUUCGAUUCCCUUAGUAGCGGCGAGCGAAACGGGAAGAGCCCAAACCAACAAGCUUGCUUGUUGGGGUUGUAGGACACUCUAUACGGAGUUACAAAGGACGACAUUAGACGAAUCAUCUGGAAAGAUGAAUCAAAGAAGGUAAUAAUCCUGUAGUCGAAAAUGUUGUCUCUCUUGAGUGGAUCCUGAGUACGACGGAGCACGUGAAAUUCCGUCGGAAUCUGGGAGGACCAUCUCCUAAGGCUAAAUACUCUCUAGUGACCGAUAGUGAACCAGUACCGUGAGGGAAAGGUGAAAAGCACCCCGGAAGGGGAGUGAAAUAGAACCUGAAACCGUGUGCUUACAAGUAGUCAGAGCCCGUUAAUGGGUGAUGGCGUGCCUUUUGUAGAAUGAACCGGCGAGUUACGAUUUGAUGCAAGGUUAAGCAGUAAAUGUGGAGCCGUAGCGAAAGCGAGUCUGAAUAGGGCGUUUAGUAUUUGGUCGUAGACCCGAAACCAGGUGAUCUACCCUUGGUCAGGUUGAAGUUCAGGUAACACUGAAUGGAGGACCGAACCGACUUACGUUGAAAAGUGAGCGGAUGAACUGAGGGUAGCGGAGAAAUUCCAAUCGAACCUGGAGAUAGCUGGUUCUCUCCGAAAUAGCUUUAGGGCUAGCCUCAAGUGAUGAUUAUUGGAGGUAGAGCACUGUUUGGACGAGGGGCCCCUCUCGGGUUACCGAAUUCAGACAAACUCCGAAUGCCAAUUAAUUUAACUUGGGAGUCAGAACAUGGGUGAUAAGGUCCGUGUUCGAAAGGGAAACAGCCCAGACCACCAGCUAAGGUCCCAAAAUAUAUGUUAAGUGGAAAAGGAUGUGGCGUUGCCCAGACAACUAGGAUGUUGGCUUAGAAGCAGCCAUCAUUUAAAGAGUGCGUAAUAGCUCACUAGUCGAGUGACACUGCGCCGAAAAUGUACCGGGGCUAAACAUAUUACCGAAGCUGUGGAUUGUCCUUUGGACAAUGGUAGGAGAGCGUUCUAAGGGCGUUGAAGCAUGAUCGUAAGGACAUGUGGAGCGCUUAGAAGUGAGAAUGCCGGUGUGAGUAGCGAAAGACGGGUGAGAAUCCCGUCCACCGAUUGACUAAGGUUUCCAGAGGAAGGCUCGUCCGCUCUGGGUUAGUCGGGUCCUAAGCUGAGGCCGACAGGCGUAGGCGAUGGAUAACAGGUUGAUAUUCCUGUACCACCUAUAAUCGUUUUAAUCGAUGGGGGGACGCAGUAGGAUAGGCGAAGCGUGCGAUUGGAUUGCACGUCUAAGCAGUAAGGCUGAGUAUUAGGCAAAUCCGGUACUCGUUAAGGCUGAGCUGUGAUGGGGAGAAGACAUUGUGUCUUCGAGUCGUUGAUUUCACACUGCCGAGAAAAGCCUCUAGAUAGAAAAUAGGUGCCCGUACCGCAAACCGACACAGGUAGUCAAGAUGAGAAUUCUAAGGUGAGCGAGCGAACUCUCGUUAAGGAACUCGGCAAAAUGACCCCGUAACUUCGGGAGAAGGGGUGCUCUUUAGGGUUAACGCCCAGAAGAGCCGCAGUGAAUAGGCCCAAGCGACUGUUUAUCAAAAACACAGGUCUCUGCUAAACCGUAAGGUGAUGUAUAGGGGCUGACGCCUGCCCGGUGCUGGAAGGUUAAGAGGAGUGGUUAGCUUCUGCGAAGCUACGAAUCGAAGCCCCAGUAAACGGCGGCCGUAACUAUAACGGUCCUAAGGUAGCGAAAUUCCUUGUCGGGUAAGUUCCGACCCGCACGAAAGGCGUAACGAUUUGGGCACUGUCUCAACGAGAGACUCGGUGAAAUCAUAGUACCUGUGAAGAUGCAGGUUACCCGCGACAGGACGGAAAGACCCCGUGGAGCUUUACUGUAGCCUGAUAUUGAAAUUCGGCACAGCUUGUACAGGAUAGGUAGGAGCCUUUGAAACGUGAGCGCUAGCUUACGUGGAGGCGCUGGUGGGAUACUACCCUAGCUGUGUUGGCUUUCUAACCCGCACCACUUAUCGUGGUGGGAGACAGUGUCAGGCGGGCAGUUUGACUGGGGCGGUCGCCUCCUAAAAGGUAACGGAGGCGCUCAAAGGUUCCCUCAGAAUGGUUGGAAAUCAUUCAUAGAGUGUAAAGGCAUAAGGGAGCUUGACUGCGAGACCUACAAGUCGAGCAGGGUCGAAAGACGGACUUAGUGAUCCGGUGGUUCCGCAUGGAAGGGCCAUCGCUCAACGGAUAAAAGCUACCCCGGGGAUAACAGGCUUAUCUCCCCCAAGAGUUCACAUCGACGGGGAGGUUUGGCACCUCGAUGUCGGCUCAUCGCAUCCUGGGGCUGUAGUCGGUCCCAAGGGUUGGGCUGUUCGCCCAUUAAAGCGGUACGCGAGCUGGGUUCAGAACGUCGUGAGACAGUUCGGUCCCUAUCCGUCGUGGGCGUAGGAAAUUUGAGAGGAGCUGUCCUUAGUACGAGAGGACCGGGAUGGACAUACCUCUGGUGUACCAGUUGUCGUGCCAACGGCAUAGCUGGGUAGCUAUGUGUGGACGGGAUAAGUGCUGAAAGCAUCUAAGCAUGAAGCCCCCCUCAAGAUGAGAUUUCCCAACUUCGGUUAUAAGAUCCCU
rnacentral:rRNA from 1 species